UACAGUGAGGUCUGUAUUCAGUCUCCCCAGGCUACAGUGAGGUCUGUAUUCAGUCUCCCCAGGCUACAGUGAGGUCUGUAGUCAGUCUCCCCAGGCUACAGUGAGGUCUGUAGUCAGUCUUACCAGGCUACAGUGAGGUCUGUAGUCAGUCUCCCCAGGCUACAGUGAGGUCUGUAUUCAGUCUCCCCAGGCUACAGUGAGGUCUGUAUUCAGUCUCCCCAGGCUACAGUGAGGUCUGUAUUCA